AGUCGACGAUGAAUCUUCUAGCUUGCUAGAAGUGGAUUAGUGGCGCACGGGUGAGUAAUGCUUAGGUUAUGUGCCCUUUAGUCUGGGAUAGCCACUGGAAACGGUGAUUAAUACUGGAUACUCCCUACGGGGGAAAGUUUUUCGCUAAAGGAUCAGCCUAUGUCCUAUCAGCUUGUUGGUGAGGUAAUGGCUCACCAAGGCUAUGACGGGUAUCCGGCCUGAGAGGGUGAUCGGACACACUGGAACUGAGACACGGUCCAGACUCCUACGGGAGGCAGCAGUAGGGAAUAUUGCUCAAUGGGGGAAACCCUGAAGCAGCAACGCCGCGUGGAGGAUGAAGGUUUUAGGAUUGUAAACUCCUUUUGUUAGAGAAGAUUAUGACGGUAUCUAACGAAUAAGCACCGGCUAACUCCGUGCCAGCAGCCGCGGUAAUACGGAGGGUGCAAGCGUUACUCGGAAUCACUGGGCGUAAAGAGUGCGUAGGCGGGGUAAUAAGUCAGAUGUGAAAUCCUGUAGCUUAACUACAGAACUGCAUUUGAAACUGUUACUCUGGAGUGUGGGAGAGGUAGGUGGAAUUCUUGGUGUAGGGGUAAAAUCCGUAGAGAUCAAGAGGAAUACUCAUUGCGAAGGCGACCUGCUGGAACAUUACUGACGCUGAUGCACGAAAGCGUGGGGAGCAAACAGGAUUAGAUACCCUGGUAGUCCACGCCCUAAACGAUGGAUGCUAGUUGUUGCCUUGCUUGUCAGGGCAGUAAUGCAGCUAACGCAUUAAGCAUCCCGCCUGGGGAGUACGGUCGCAAGAUUAAAACUCAAAGGAAUAGACGGGGACCCGCACAAGCGGUGGAGCAUGUGGUUUAAUUCGAAGAUACGCGAAGAACCUUACCUAGGCUUGACAUUGAUA
rnacentral:rRNA from 1 species